GAYGAACGCUGGCGGCGUGCCUAAUACAUGCAAGUCGAGCGAAUGGAUUAAGAGCUUGCUCUUAUGAAGUUAGCGGCGGACGGGUGAGUAACACGUGGGUAACCUGCCCAUAAGACUGGGAUAACUCCGGGAAACCGGGGCUAAUACCGGAUAACAUUUUGAACCGCAUGGUUCGAAAUUGAAAGGCGGCUUCGGCUGUCACUUAUGGAUGGACCCGCGUCGCAUUAGCUAGUUGGUGAGGUAACGGCUCACCAAGGCAACGAUGCGUAGCCGACCUGAGAGGGUGAUCGGCCACACUG
rnacentral:rRNA from 1 species